GUGCUUGCUGGCUGUGGCAGUACAUACACUAAAAUUGGAAUGAUACAGAAGAUUAGCAUGGCCCCUAGACAAAAAAUAUGAAAAAAUAAAACAGUAAAGAUAUCU